UACGAAGGGUGCAAGCGUUAAUCGGAAUUACUGGGCGUAAAGCGUGCGCAGGCGGUUUGUUAAGUCCGUUGUGAAAGCCCCGAGCUCAACUUGGGAAUUGCAGUGGAUACUGGCAGGCUGGAGUACGGUAGAGGAAGGUGGAAUUCCCGGUGUAGCAGUGAAAUGCGUAGAGAUCGGGAGGAACACCAGUGGCGAAGGCGGCCUUCUGGACCAGUACUGACGCUCAUGCACGAAAGCGUGGGUAGCAAACAGG
rnacentral:rRNA from 1 species